AGAGUUUGAUCAUGGUUUAGGAUGAACGCUAGCGGGAGGCCUUUACACGUGCAAGUCGAAGGGAAUUAGUAGCAAUACCAUGAGAGGGGGGCACGGGUGAGUAACGCGUAUGCAACCUGCCUUUAACUGAGGGAUAGCCCAUAGAAAUGUGGAUUAAUACCUCAUAGUUCUGAGAAGCUGCAUGGUUUUUCAAAUAAAGCUCCGGCGGUUAAAGAUGGGCAUGCGUGACAUUAGCUAGUUGGUAAGGUAACGGCUUACCAAGGCUACGAUGUCUAGGGGUUCUGAGAGGAUGAUCCCCCACACUGGUACUGAGACACGGACCAGACUCCUACGGGAAGCAGCAGUGAGGAAUAUUGGUCAAUGGGCGCAAGCCUGAACCAGCCAUCCCGCGUGAAGGAUGACGGCCCUAUGGGUUUGAAACUGCUUUUGUACAGGAAGAAAAUCCCUACGUGUAGGGACCUGCCGGUACUGUACGAAAAAAAUCGGCUAACUCCGGGCCAGCAGCCGCGGAAAAACGGAGGAUGAAACGUAAUCCGGAUUAUUUGG
rnacentral:rRNA from 1 species